rnacentral:lncRNA from 1 species
ACCCUCCUUCACACACAGCCCCGUUCUCACACCCCUCCUCGCACACACGCGCUUUUCACGCACACCGUCCCCUCCUCACACGCUCGCACGCUCGGGGAUCCCGCGCCCCGCACCGUGCGUGUCCGGCCCCGCCAAACCAGCCCCGAAGCGCUUGCGGUCCCGACCACAUCUAGAGGGCGAUGCGCGGGGUGCGGCGAGCCCGAGCUCCGUGCCUAAAAAGUUCUCGAAAACCGUAGUUAUCGAGGGCUUCACCUCUGUGAAAGAAGAGAUGUGGUACAUCAUGUUUUGAAGAACAUAAGCAGAUUUGAUAGAAGUCUGGAAGUAAGGACCUACUUUCAUGUAAAUGGAAAUUUAAGGCUGCAUGGAUUUCACUCCUCUCAAGCAAUCAUCACGGACCAUGUUUCUUGGAAAAAAAAGAGACUCAUUUCAGACAGGACACAAGCAAGCUCUGUUCACACUCCAAGGCCUGGGUCCUACUUCAAAUCACACUUCAUGCAAUUGUGCCUGAUACUAUUCUGAGACUGCCCACAAUGCCUGCUGAUUUUCAGUCUCUAAAGAAUGAAUAAUUGGGAAUGAGAGAACUUAAAUCUAUAAAUGCCAGAAGGGUAUAAAUUGCUCUGCUUAUGUAAGUAGAGGAAGUAGCUAUAAAAGUAAGCAAUAAACAACAGA